rnacentral:rRNA from 1 species
AGUGAACGCUGGCGGUAGGCCUAACACAUGCAAGUCGAACGGCAGCACAGUAAGAGCUUGCUCUUACGGGUGGCGAGUGGCGGACGGGUGAGGAAUACAUCGGAAUCUACUUUUUCGUGGGUGAUAACGUAGGGAAAUUUACGCUAAUACCGCAUACGACCUACGGGGGAAAGCAGGGGAUCUUUUGACCUUGUGCGAUUGAAUGAGCCGACGUCGGAUUAGCUAGUUGGCGGGGUAAAGGCCCACCAAGGCGACGAUCCGUAGCUGGUCUGAGAGGAUGGUCAGCCACCUUGGCACUGAGGCACGGUCCAGACUCCUGCGGGGGGCAGCAGUGGGGAAUAUUGGACGAUGGGCGCAAGCCUGAUCCAGCCAUACCGCGUGGGUGAAGAAGGACUUCGGGUUGUAAAGCCCUUUUGUUGGGAAAGAAAAGCAGCAGGUUAAUCCCCCGCUGUUCUGACGGUACCCAAAGAAUAAGCACCGGCUAACUUCGUG